CUUCUCACCUGGCUGGGGGUGGGAGACUGCAUUUCGUGCAGCUACUAGACACUAUGUGCCAUAAAAAGAGUUUGCAGUGACCUGGCCCAAGGAAUUAAGGGAGAAGGUCCUGCCUCACCUUGGCUUGGAGCAAGGCUCCUGCUUCUGCCCGGUUCUUUUCGACAUCUUUCUCCCAGUGGAUCCUGAUGGUCUCAAGGAUGUCGUCCAGACCAGUGCCAAUGGGAACACCCAUUUGUUCCAGUUCAGACCCUGCCAACUGUUUGUACAACACUUUCACAUCCUGCAAAUGACAAUAUACACUUCAGGUGAAUUCCAGAGGACAAGGAAAGCAGACAGAAUUUCAGCCAGCAGAAUCCCAGGCUGCAUAUGUCAAACCCUGCCAAUGAUUUAUUGGACCCAUCUCUGAAGUCUGCUCAUGGCCACCAUCCCAGGCAGACCCUGAGCUAUAAAAGCCUCUGAUUGCCUUCCCACAACUGACCUACAGUCUUGCCCCCAGAGGGACCAUCCUUAACCACAUUGGGUCACCAUCUGCUCAGAGACCUAAGUGUCAUCCUCUGGCCCCUUAGUAAUCUGAUCUUGCCUUCCUUUUCAACCUUGGGUCCUGGUGCAGACCCUACCCUGCCAUGCGUCUAGCCUGUUUGCUCCCACUGCUUCUUGCUCAUUUGCCCCACCUCUCCUCUCUAUCAAUACAAAUCUCCCUUUAAAGGUGAAGUCAGGUCAUGAUGAGCCACUGCUCAGAUCCCUUCUAUGGGUCUCAUCUCAAGUCAUCUCUGAGAGAUUUGGUAUGGCUGACACGGUCCUCCGGGAUUUGAUCUCUCCCUGGUUUUUUAGCCUCAUUGGUUGUCCCUCCUUCCUUCACUCCAUAUGCCCCAGUUAUAAUGAACUACAUGGUGGCCACUAAUGCACCAUGCUUUCUCAUGUCCUUCUGCCUUAGCACAUACUGUCCCCUCUGCCGGGAAACUCAUGCCUCCUUCCUUGGCCUGGUCAACUCCUACACAAAUUUAGUGUCCAAAUUAGGCGUCACCUCUUUUGUCAACCUUCCCUGGCAAGACUAAAUGUCCCCAUUUCACUUGUGCUCCUCUCAGUGAUGGCACAACCACUGUGUGAUGCCACUGUCUGUUCACUCCUCUGUCUUUGGUACUAAACUGUGAGCUCCUGGAGGUCUCAUUCACUUCAUUCCCAGUACUUGGCCAGGGGCCUGGCAGAUAUUCAAAUAUUUGUUGAAUUCAUUCAUUUAUUCACUAAUUCAAAAACUAUUUGUUGGGCAUCAAUCUUGUGUGCGGCACUGUUAUAGAUGCUCACAGUACAAUGGGGAACCAAAUAGACCAAGCCCCUGCUACUCUGUUGAAUGGCUGGAUGAAGGCAUGAACACAUGAUGAAUAAAUGAAUGAGUGAAAGAAAUUUUGGUCAGAUCCUACCUUAACUUCACACUUAAUUAAAUUCUAUCUUAAAUUUAGUAGAAAUGGCUUCAUGUCUAUUGGCAUCUAUCUUUAGCUGUGCAGUAAGCCGUCGGCGGCUGGAUGAUGGCUUGAUUUUUUUUGUGCUCCUGUGACCUUGGCGAACACAGUGUUGUCCAAGACACCAACCCCAGCUGAUUGAGAGCCUCCUUGACUCCAGAGUGGCCACUAGUGGAGAUCCUUUUAGCAGAUGGAGAAGCUUGGUCUUAGAAAAAGGAAAGGACUCUGGGUCUGAGGAGAUGGUAGAGAUUUUCCUUUUCAUCACAAUACUCUUCUUAUCCUGAGAUAAGAAUGGCAGUGGGAUGGAUCACUGUCUUUCCCCAAAGACUCCCAACUAUAUGCCUUUCCUCUUUGUCUACCAAUUUAGGGAAAUGUUCCCUAACUAUCUAUCCCACCACUCAUCCAAUUGCCCCACAUCCAGAAAACCUUCCCCACAGAAUAUUCUCAAAAUCACUGUGUUCAUCAAUGGGAGGUCUUUUUCAUUUCAUUUCUCCAUUAGACCAGUGUUUCCCAAACCUCACUCGCCAUCAUGAUUUCACCCUAAAUGCGUCUCUCUCCUAUCAUUAUUUACUUUACAUUGUUCCUUAAACUCAUCUUCUUAAAAAGUAAAUGUUAAAUCAGUAUACUUGAAAAGCUCUUUAUAUUCAAUAAAUUUUAAAUUGCUACUAUAAAUUGUAGUGCUAUAGUGGAAAAACAGUUUCAUGAGUCAUAAAUAGAGGGUAACUCUAAAAAUACAUAACUAUUAAAAAUAAAAUGUUUAUCCUUAUACCACUUAAAAUGGUCUUCAUCAGUGUCAUAUACACCAUAUUUUAGGAAACACUAUAUUAGACUUCGAAGAGGUGUUUUUCAACGCUGGGGAGUUAAAAAUACUGAGGCCUGGCCCCCACGCCCGGGGACUGUGGUUUAAUUAGUCUGUGCAGCUUGAGCAUUGACAUUUUCAAGUGGCCAGGUAAUUCUAACAUGCAGCUGCAAUGGAGAAGCGUUGCUCAAACCCAGCAGUCCUUCAAGCAUGCUGCCAGGACCAGCAGGAUCAGCAUCCUGGGGAACUUGUGAGAAAUCGAAGUUUGGGGCCCCACCCCAGGCUAUUGAAUCAAACACUCAGAGGGUGGGGCACAGCGAUCUGUGUUUUCUGUAAGAGCUCCUGGUGGUCCUGAAGUGUGCCACAAUUUGAGAACCCCUGCUCUGGACGGGGUGACACUGGGCAAAAUCUCCAAGCCCUUGGGACCUGGUUUGUGUCUAUAAGGAGGGUUUGAGCUGAACGAUCUUUGCUUCGGAUUCUCCCGGGACCUCUAUGAUCCCACUCCAGCCUUCUGUGCCACCGGCAGUGAAUGCUGCAGACCCCAGAACAGCAGCACUCGACUUGCCCAGGAGUCUGGGCGAGCGGAAGGACUGUCCCCUCUGCAGCAGAUGUUACCUCUCUUUAAAGUCGUCCGCACCCGCCUGGAUAUUCUCUGUCCGAAGCAUGAGCCGGGCAUUUUCCAGAACUGCCUCGCCCACCUAGAAAGAUCACACACAUCAGAGGAGACAAGGUCACUGGACUGUCUUCCCUCCCUUCCCACCAUGACUCGCACCAGGCACAGAGGUUCUGGAACUUAGAGCACCUUUCUUACAGCAAAUAUUUUUAGAACUCAAGCGUCUCUCUCCAAAAAGGUGGGGAGGAGAUAAACCAUAAAUCAUAAAAUCUGGAUGUCUUUUAAGAGCCUUUAGAGUUGGAUUUUUGGAGCUAAAAUAUUACCCAAAGGCAGACUUGUUCAUAGCCUCUGUCAUAAUGCUGAGCUUUCAACUACCAGUGAAGUUUCUGGCUCCUUAAAUGAAGAUUCCCUGGUUUCACUUAGUGGCUCUUCACAUUUUCUGGUCAUGGAUGCCCUUGAAAAGCUGAUGAAAUCUCUAGUACAGUGCUGCCCAAUAGAACUUUCUGUGAUGAUGGAACUCUUCUAUGUCCGCACCAUCCAUCACAGUGGCCACACAUGGCUACUGAACACUCAAAAUGUGGCAAGAAUGACUGAGGAACUGAAAAUUUAAUUUUAUUUAAAUUUAAUUUAUCGUUAUUUUUAAUAGAUUCUUUUUGGGGGGGAAGAGAGAGCACAUGAACUGGCAGAAGGAGAGGGAGAGAGAAUCUUAAGCAGGCUCCACGCUCAGCACAGAGCCUGACUAGCAUGGUGUGGCCAACAGAUCAGGAGAUGACUGACAUUGAAAAGAUGUUAUUCGGAAUUCCUAGGGGGAAGGGCAGCCCCACUAUGCAGGGCCAGAGGAGGAAGUACCAGGGUUGGUCUCAAAAGGAUGAGGGGGAAGUGUAGGCAAAAGACUUUAUUGUGGUUUUCAUGGGAAGGAAUGGGUGAAGCAGGGUAAGCAGUUGAGCAGGUUAAGGAUUGGGUAGUUUGAAGAAUUUCAGUGGUCUCUGGGCCUCUGGGGUGGUCUCUGGGCACCUGGGAUGCUUAGGGCAGAGGAAUACUGCUUCCUGGAGCGUAAGAGCCAGAAAGAGGAGGCAGGUGGGGAUAUGGGCUCAGGAUCGGCUGGGUUUGCACAGCAAAAGCAUGGCAAGUGGUUUACUAUCUCAAAGAUUCACUAGCUUUGUGGGGGCGGCCUCGCCCUAACAGUGAGACCCCAGAUGCCAGAGCAUCAAGAACACAGAAAAAACGAAAAUAGAGUUAAUAUUGUUGAAUAUAGUUCGUCCAGAGGGUCAUGGCUACCUGAGGCGCCCCUGAGGAUUGGCCUUGGCUGCCCUGGCUGAGUCCUCUCUUCAGUCUUCUUCACACAGCAGCAGUCCCCACAUUGGGGAGCUCCUUUUCCAGUCUUUGGAUGCCACUUUGCCAAUGCCAUUUUUCAGAUGACAAACUCAAAGCCAAAGGCAAUCACCCUGCUCAAUUUCUCACAAUGAUGCCCAUGGCAAAUGACUCACUCUAGUGCAGGACACCGAAUCAUAGCGGGUGUCUAGACUGUGGGCUGGAGCAUGACUGCUGUAGAGAUGAAGGUUUUACUGUCAUUCUAGAUGACGUGGCCAUGGGAGGGCAGCUGUAGGCAGAUGUGGGGCCUGGGGCUUAUGCAAUUUGGGAGACUGCCUUUAAGAAAAAGAAAAAAAAAAGUCUAAUACAAAGGUGUGCACAAGAGUGAGGGACCCUGAAGCUUAAAUUCUUAAAAUUCUUCACCUUGAUACAGCUUAAUUUUGUCUAUUGACGUGUUUCUGCUUUUUAAACAUGGGACCCAGCGGGUGGGCUGGAAAAAGUAAAAACACUCUGAAGCAUAGGUUGAAUAUACAUAUUUGGAGGCCUACAAUUCUGGAAAAGCAGAGAGAUGGCUGAAAAUGCAAUCACCCCAAAUCCUGCCUUCCAGGAGAAGCACGGCCAGCAUUUGGAUGUAUUGUACUUCGUUUCAGCCUUUGCUUUGCACUGCUACAAUAGUAGCCAGUGUGUUAAUUAUUAACACUUCCCUGGUUGAUUGCAAACUAUGAUGAAGAGGCAACAAGGAGCAAACCUCGAAGGAGUCUGGUAGGAAGUGCCAGCUGCUCAAAGAUGGGCCGCAGUGAGGGGCCGGCUGCCCCAUGUCCUUGCUCCUCCUUCUCACUUGGGCUUGAGGACAGGAGCGCUUUCUGGGAUAAAUUGGACACUGUCCAGCAGAGAGGGUAGUUCUGUCCAAAAGUCUGUCCUGGGAGGCUCGUGCAGUACUCAGCUCAGGGAAGCUGGAGUUCCUGCUCUAGCCGAUGUUUAGUAACAACCAGGGGCUUAUUUGAGCCUCAAGCCGAGGCUAAUUAUAGGCCCUGACUUGCCAAAGCUCAGUGGCUGGCGCUGCUUCCCCAUCUUCACAGAAGGAUCUUAAAAUAACCCGCCAGCCCUCAAGUCAGCCGGAGAGCCCCUCGUGUUCUCCUGUAGGUAGCUCGGCUUAGCAGAGGGGGGUCCUCUCUGGUGGUAGGGGCGGCUCUGCCUCCUCCACUGUAGAAAGGGCCAGGGAGGUGGCAGGACGAGGGCUGGGACCUUGGCUGAGGUUUAGCACAGGCCCAGGACCGGGAUGGUGGCCAAGGCCAAAAGCAAAGCAUGGAGAGCCUGCCGUGGAGCAGGCUCUCUGUCUCCACCUGGAAGGCUUCAUGAAAUCCUCCCCAGGGCUGAGGACAGAACUGCAGAGGGGAGGGAAUGUACUGACCACCUACAGAUAUGCCCAGCCCACAUGCUGGGGCUGGCUUGUCCUGGCUUGCCAGGGCAGACUGGUAAAGAUUUCAGGAGUUUUGGGAGCCAGUGGUUAAACACAGCCAUCAUGAAAGUUUUAAUUAUGUGAACUUACAAUUACAUAAAUUGUAUGAAAAACCCAGUUAAUAAAUACU